rnacentral:tRNA from 1 species
GGGCGGUUAGCUCAGCUGGGAGAGCGCCACCCUUACAAGGUGGAUGUCGCAGGUUCGAUCCCUGCACCGCCUA